GACGUAGGGGGCCAGCGUUGCUCGGAAUUAUUGGGCGUAAAGAGCUCGUAGGCGGUUUGUCGCGUCUGCUGUGAAAGACCGGGGCUCAACUCCGGUUCUGCAGUGGGUACGGGCAGACUAGAGUGAUGUAGGGGAGACUGGAAUUCCUGGUGUAGCGGUGAAAUGCGCAGAUAUCAGGAGGAACACCGAUGGCGAAGGCAGGUCUCUGGGCAUUAACUGACGCUGAGGAGCGAAAGCAUGGGGAGCGAACAGG
rnacentral:rRNA from 1 species